CCCAACCGAAAGGAGGGGGAUGCCUAAGGUAGGACUGAUGACUGGGGUGAAGUCGUAACAAGGUAGCCGUACCGGAAGGUGUGGCUGGAUCACCUCCUUUUAGGGAGACCUAAUCCAUUUAGAAAUGUUAAGGAAAUUGCCAUAACAACCUAAAUUGGUCUAACCUAGGUCGGUCGAGAUUGGGGAAAUCUUUCAAAGUAUUAUUUGGCUUAGUUCAAACUAAAAAAACAUAUAGGAAAACCACAGCAACUAACGAAAGUUAGACUGCUGGGAUUAUUUCCAGUCAGAACCUUGAAAACUGCAUAAGAGAAAGAGUAAAAAAGCAGGCAGUCAUAACAGACUGCAAGUGGUCAAGAUAAUAAGAGCUAAUGGUG
rnacentral:misc_RNA from 1 species